GCGAAGAGAAGUCUCGCCUGUAUGGUAGU
rnacentral:sRNA from 1 species